rnacentral:rRNA from 1 species
UACGAGGGGUGCAAGCGUUGCUCGGAAUUAUUGGGCGUAAAGGGUAGGUAGGUGGUCUCAUUUGUCUGGGGUGAAAGCCUUGAGCUUAACUCAAGAAGUGCCCCAGAAACGGUGAGACUAGAGUCUGGAGAGGGUCGUGGAAUUCCCGGUGUAGCGGUGAAAUGCGCAGAUAUCAGGAGGAACACCAGCGGCGAAGGCGGCGCUCUGGGCCGGUACUGACACUGAGGAGCGAAAGCGUGGGGAGCAAACAGG